GGUGGAAACGUCACCCAUCUUCAGUAUUGCUAUCCCAAACCGAGAGAGAUUGUUGUCGGGAUUCCGCCCGGUAGCCGUCUUGUCGGGGUGAUACUCGAGCAACAUGUCGCCUACUUCGAAAAUGAUUAUCAAGAGAUACAACCGCUUACUUCGCCAUUAGAAUGCUUCCAUGCAUUCUGACAAGCACCAUGUGACCUCAUCACAAACCCCGGUCUGAGGCGUGACACCCCCACAGCGACCGCGCAGCCGCCCCUCGGGGUGCUAGGCGGUGGGGGUGGAGCGCCGAGGGCCCCUUCUGUCACAGGACUUGUGGGUGAAGUAUGUACAUAUUCUCACCCCAUACUUGUCACUGACGGGGCCGUGUUUUCAACGAGAUGCGGUAUAUGUGUACUCGGAAACUUCGGGAGGAAAUAUGUACUUGUAAACAUCUUACACGACCAUUCCAGGAGAUAAAAUGAAAAAUGUUGAAUCAUUGAGGAACACACCAAAUAAACCCUGGGCUGUGAAUUAUGUUAACGGAAGUGGAAGUGAACACCAAAGAAAGAAGAUUCUGGCAUUCAAUAAUUUCGAAAAGUGUAUAAAUUUUCAAUUAUCUAAAAAUAUUAAAAUGUCAACACAAAUGUGUCUUGGAGUUCUUUGCUGAAUGGUGACUUCGCAUGACUGAAAGUUGAAGUAUACUAUAUGGAGUUGAUUAGAGACCGACCAUUUAAUAUUCAAGGGGGUGGGGACCUGGAACUUUUCUAUGGAGAUUACAUUUUUUUCGGUCACAGCUACAAAAGCAGAUAUAUGAUUUUAUUUAACUCUAUGACCUUGAAGAUAAGCACCUUGCAACUAGAUCUAUGUCAUUUUUUGUGGCAGGCAUUUUUUUCACCAGUCUGAACCGUAAUUAUUUUUGUCAAGAAUUUUCGGUGACAAUAUAUUUUUUCGAUAAAAUUCCAGGACCCGAACCUCCCCCGAAAAUAUCCUAUGGUCAACCCCUUACAAUCUCUGCCAUUCUUAUUUUGUUUCCGGCAGUACUUGCCUAAAGGGUAAUGGUGUCUGACUUUGUUAUAGUCAUAUCUAUCUAGUUAACAGCUCAGUGGUGUUUUUACGUUUUGAACAUUGUCAGUAAAACACGAUCAAACUGUUAACUGGGCUAUUCGACGCCCUGGUAUUAAACAUUGGUAAAAGGUAUCUCGAAUCAUACACAAUCACGUGACUAAAGCAUAUUCUAAAACAUUUCCGGAACAUGUUUGGGGUUGUUUUUACGACAUUUUAGUAGGGAAUGGUCACAACGUAUUUCAUCCUUCAAGUUGUAACAACGUUAUUUCACGUCGUUGUGACAACGUCCAUUGUAGUACACGGAAUAACGUUGUAGGAACGCAUUAUUAUAACGUUCCCUCAACGUAAAAAUACAACGUUCCCACAACGUAAAAUACACCGUCAUCACAACGUUGUGACGACGUGAAUAUGACGUAACACAACGUUAGGCCAUGACGUUGUGACAACAUAAAUGGGAGUCCACAGAAUAACGUUAUACUGACGUAACAUCCCCAACGUUACCACAACGUAAACACAACGUUGUCACAACGUUGUCACAACGUUGUCACAGCGUGAAAUUGUUAGCUUGGAGCUUAGAAAAAAUACAUUUCAAACACGGUAGGGGUCAUGUGUUUGCAGAUUCAUUUCUUAACCCGGUCUUCAUUGAACCAAUUUAUUAUUGUACAAAAUUGCCAAGCCACAGAUACCUUUAAAGAAACUGUUGCUGAAAUUAGUGAUCUUUCUCCUUUUUUCAAUUUUCUGCUACAUGAAAAACAAAAUCGGUUCACUUUCUUUUGCCCUUCAGUUUAUAUUGCAUGUCAUUCCAUGGUACUGAAUUGGCUAAACAAUAAUUUUCGCGUGUGUUGCAGUAAUGCGCUGGAUGAUAUCAUGGACUUCGUAUUGCUGUCUACAGUUUUUUGUGCGUUAUUUAUUAAAUAAA
rnacentral:lncRNA from 1 species